GAUGUAAACCCCAUCGUCUCCUCGUCGGAGCUCGACGGAAGGAGGCGAUCGAUGGAGGAGGAGCCGUGGGAAGCGCUCGACGUCGACGACUCCGACCUCUCCAGCUUCCGGCGCCCCCCCAAGCGCCGCCAAACCCUAGCCGAUCCCCCGAUUUCCUCAUCCGUUCUCCGGCCCUGCUCUCGCCGCUCCUCCCAACCCCCGUCGCCGCAUCCCAGCCCGCCGGCCCUAGCUUCCCAACUACCUCCUCGGUCCCCGAGCCCGGACUCUCUCCCUCCUCCCGAAUCUCCGCCGGGAAGAGAAGAGGAAGCGAAGGGCGAGCGGAGAAUACCCGGGCCGGCGGGAGCAGUUCAGGCGGCGAUGCGGCGGAGAGGUCGGAGGUCGGAGGAGGGGUUCCCGAUAGCCGGAGGCGAGGAGGAGGAGGACGCGACCCCGAUUCCUACGCAGGAGUAUAUAAGGAGGGCUCUGGAGAAUGGGGAUGAGGACGAUGGCGAUUUCACGCUCGAUCCAUGGGUUUGUGCGGUGGAAUUCGUGCGGCGGCAAGGGUUGGUGGAUGGUGAUGGAGUGGCCAUUGGGACGCCUCUGUGCUCCAUCAAGAGAGGAACUGUCCCUGAUAAAGUGUCACAGGUUGUUGCAAUUGUCAAAUCUUGCACUCCAAAUGGCCUUGGUGAUAUGAUGGUGACACUUAAGGAUCCAACAGGUACAGUGGAUGCUACUAUUCAUCGCAAAGUUCUGCAAGAGAAGGAUUUUGGGAAGGAGAUAUCUGUUGGUUCAGUUUUAAUUCUUCAGAAGGUUGCGGUGUUUUCACCUUCACGCUGCACUUGCUAUCUCAACAUAACUUUGAACAACAUCAUAAAGGUCAUCUCUAAGGACAGUGGACCUCCAUCAAAAGAGAAUUGUUCUCUUCCAGCUAAAGAAUGUUCUUCCAGUUUGGAGAUUCGGGAGAAAUCCAGCAUGCAAGAGAAAGCAUCGUCCCAGUUAAGUGGGAGAAUAGAGGGAAUCUUGAGUAGUUUAAAGCAAGCUACUAAUACGAAAGAGAGAACAGUUCAUUGUCCACAGUACGAACAGGCUGGAGGGGUACAAGGGACCGACUCUUGCAGCGACCAAACUAGCAGAAACCGUGACAUUUCUAUGGUUAACGAACCAUCACCAGCAGCACAUGAUGAGAUAAGCCAAUUUAGGGCAGCUAGGGGUGGUGAGACUAUGGAUUGUUCUACAUCAGAAAACAUUGAGCGCAAUGACACAAGGUCGGGCAUUGCAGAAGUUUCUGACGAUAAAGAUGGCAUUAGUGUAGAUCGAAUGAGGAAGCAGAAGCAGCAGCAGCUUAGUUUGAGAACUUCACUCCUGCAGUGGACUGAUGAACAACUAGAGGAGCUCAUGGAUUGCGAGUGACGAUGAACAAACUUAAAGAUCCUUGGAUGAGUUGUGCUUGGCUUACAACAUGGCAAUGGACUGGACAGCAUGAAUUGCUUCUUCGGCUGAUGAACACGAAGUAAAUGGAAACAACAUGCAGUAUGCUCUAUUUAUUUUGACAGUUCAGAGUCCACAGCAGCAGGCUGAGUCAUCUACCAGAAAAUACAAGUGAUGACAGUUAUGCAAUUUCCAUGCAUUCAAUUCUUCAUGUUUCAAGCAUGUAAGCACUCACCUUCAACAGCGAGUUGAUAGCUGAUCGCAUUUCAUUCCUAAUUAAUCUGCAAUUUUCAAUGUCCACUUCUGCUGUCUGUGGCAUGUUAUGCAACUGUUUUGAGAUGACAGCAUCCAGAACAGGAUUUGCAGAAUGAAUCCAUUCUUCAUGAUUAGUAAUGAA